GGGCGUGUAGUGUAGGGGUUAUCGCGCUUGCUUCGCAUUUAUGCUCCUGCGAGAGGUCUCCGGUUCAAUUCCGGACACGUCCA